CCAUCUCCUGUUCGAUCAUCCGGAGCUUGCCGAACAGAAUCUUCAAUCAUCGUUCGAUGCAUUCCCCUGGCGCAGCGAUCCAAAAGCACUCCGCGCCUGGCAACGCGGCCUCNAUCCCAUUGUCGAUGCCGGCAUGCGCGAACUCUGGCACACCGGAAUCAUGCACAACCGCGUGCGCAUGGUGGUGGCGUCGUUUCUCGUGAA
rnacentral:misc_RNA from 1 species